rnacentral:rRNA from 1 species
AUGUCUGCUGCAUCGGGCUAUGUUGCUGUUCCUCGCUGUCUGGUGAUCUUUGAUGGUACUAACUACACCGAGUUUACUGGCUUCAUGCGCAUUCACAUGCGUGGCAUCCGUCUUUGGGGUGUUCUUUCUGGCGAGGUCUGCUGUCCGCCACGUCCAGUUCCUCCGGUGGCCCCUACUCUGCCAACUCCAUCGGUUCUUCCUACGGAUGCUAAUCAGGCCGCCAAGGAUGCGGCUAAGGUUGCUGAUGAUGCUGCUGAUUGUGCUUAUGAUGAGAGGGUUUUGGCUUAUGAGGAGGCUCUUCAGACGUAUCAUGGUGCUCUGUCUGUUUACACCCAGUGGCUUGAUGAUGAUGCUCGUGCUGCUGCUGUUCUCACUGCUAGUGUUCUGCCUCAGUUUGCCUCUGAAUUUCUGGGUCUUUCUACUGUCUUUGAGAUGUGGACCCGUCUUCGUGAGCGCUAUCAGCCCUCUGGUGAUGCCUUAUACGUCUCUGUGGUCCGUCAGGAGCAUGCUCUUCAGCAGGGUGACUCUUCUGUUGAUGACUUCUAUGCACAGAGUUCUGCUAUCUGGCGCCAGCUUGAUUCUCUUCAUAGUGCUGGGUGUCGUACCUGCCCCUGUUGCUAG